rnacentral:rRNA from 1 species
GCUGGCGGCGUGCUUAACACAUGCAAGUCGAACGNGAAAGAGGGAGCUUGCUCCCUUGAUCGAGUGGCGAACGGGUGAGUAACGCGUGAGGAACCUGCCUCAAAGAGGGGGACAACAGUUGGAACGACUGCUAAUACCGCAUAAGCCCACGGCUCGGCAUCGAGCAGAGGGAAAAGGAGCGAUCCGCUUUGAGAUGGCCUCGCGUCCGAUUAGCUAGUUGGUGAGGUAACGGCCCACCAAGGCGACGAUCGGUAGCCGGACUGAGAGGUUGAACGGCCACAUUGGGACUGAGACACGGCCCAGACUCCUACGGGAGGCAACAGUGGGGAAUAUUGCACAAUGGGGGAAACCCUGAUGCAGCGACGCCGCGUGGAGGAAGAAGGUCUUCGGAUUGUAAACUCCUGUUGUUGAGGAAGAUAAUGACGGUACUCAACAAGGAAGUGACGGCUAACUACGUG